CUGAUUCGCUCGGUCCUCGCCCGUCGGCUCGCUCGAGGCACCGGCUCCGACACUGCUUGGCGAUUUCCCCCGUGCGACCCCCGGCGAUCUGAGCGCGUGACUCCGCUGCCCGCCGCCGGGCUCCUUCUCCGCGCCAGCGGUCGUCCCCCCUCCUCCCGCGGCAGCCGUCCCCUCCCCGAGGGUCGACGGCCGUGCCCUCCUCGAGGGUCUAGGUAA
rnacentral:misc_RNA from 1 species